rnacentral:rRNA from 1 species
UACGUAGGGUGCAAGCGUUAUCCGGAAUUAUUGGGCGUAAAGGGCUCGUAGGCGGUUUGUCGCGUCGGGAGUGAAAACCUUGGGCUUAACUCAGGGCUUGCUUUCGAUACGGGCAGACUAGAGGUAUGCAGGGGAGAACGGAAUUCCUGGUGUAGCGGUGAAAUGCGCAGAUAUCAGGAGGAACACCGGUGGCGAAGGCGGGUCUCUGGGCCGAUACUGACGCUGAGGAGCGAAAGCGUGGGGAGCGAACAGG